CUGGGCGCAGCGCGCGCCGAGCUGCGCGCGGAGGAGCGGGAGCGCGGGACGGCGCACCGGGGAGGGCGUGCUGGCGGCGACAUGGAGGACGGCGUGCUCAAGGAGGGCUUCCUCGUCAAGAGGGGUCACAUUGUCCACAACUGGAAGGUGCGAUGGUUCACCCUUCAGCAGAACACGUUGCUGUACUACAAGCUUGAGGGGGGUCGGAAAGUGAUCCCCCCCAAGGGCCGCAUCCUUCUGGAUGGCUGCACCAUCACCUGCCCCUGCCUGGAGUAUGAAAACCGACCACUCCUCAUUAAGCUGAAGACUCAAACAUCCACGGAGUACUUCCUGGAGGCCUGUUCUCGAGAGGAGAGGGACGCCUGGGCCUUUGAGAUAACAGGAGCUAUUCACGCGGGGCAGCCGGGCAAGGUCCAACAGCUCCACAUACUGAAGAACUCCUUCAAGCUGCCCCCUCACAUCAGCCUGCAUCGCAUCGUGGACAAGAUGCACGACAGCAGCAGCGGAAUCCGGCCAAGCCCCAACAUGGAGCAGGGAAGCACCUACAAAAAGACCUUCAUAGGCUCCUCCCUGGUGGACUGGCUCAUCUCCAACAACUUUGCAGCCAGCCGUCUGGAGGCCGUGACCCUGGCCUCCAUGCUCAUGGAGGAGAACUUCCUGAGGCCGGUAGGCACCCGAAGCACGGGAGCCAUUCGCUCUGGGGAUCUGGCUGAUCAGUUCCUGGAUGACUCCAUGGCCCUGUACACUUUUGCUGAGAGCCCCAAGAGGAAGAUAAGCUCCAAGGAAGAAAUCAGUCUCAGCACCGUGGAGUUAAGUGGCACAGUGGUAAAGCAAGGCUAUCUGGCCAAGCAGGGGCACAAGAGGAAAAACUGGAAGGUGCGGCGCUUUGUUCUGAGGAAGGACCCGGCUUUUCUGCAUUACUACGACCCUUCCAAAGAAGAGAACCGGCCAGUGGGUGGGUUUUCUCUUCGUGGUUCACUCGUAUCUGCUCUGGAGGAUAAUGGCGUUCCCACUGAAAGACUGAAGUGAAAAUUAUGUGCCAGAUUCUCCUCUAAAUAUUCCCAGUAUGCAAGCCAGCAAUCACGGCUCCCUCGUGGAAACGGUUACAUGAAAUUAGACUUCUGGAUUUAAAGAGCUAGUAGAGGCUGCUAAAUUAAACAAAGGGACAAACCUUCAAAAAUGGCUCAAAUGGCUCACCGACACACUCUUCUAUUUUCCAUUCCCUUUAACACUGAGAACAAUCAGCUCUUAAAGAAAAAAAUGAUGGAGACACAGAAAAACCAUUGUAAUUGUGUUCAAACAGAUCCCCACUCUAUUAUGAAGAGAACUGAAGCUUCUACGUGGCACCUAGCAAAUAUUUUACUGGAAAAAAAACCCCAAAAGUUGGGCAAUGAGACUCAAAUAACUUAAUUUAAAAAGCAGCAUCUUUUUCUUAAAAAAAACACCCCUAAAACCUUUACCACCCUGAAUUACAAACUCAAGGCAAGCAGCUUAGCACACCAACAAGGACCAGUGUGAUAAAUUCUCCCUCAUACCACAUGCUGUCAUCAGUCUCAAAUAGGUAAAAGGCACACAACCAAUGUAAUUCUUUAGUUGCAUUUUAAGGCUUUUUCCCCCUAGGAGUAAACUUUCACUAAUUAAAAUUAUGUUCUCUAAACCCUCCCUUUGAAAGGAUCUGCUAUAUUGAUCCUUUAGGUCACCUGCCUUUAUAUUACUACAUUUCAAAUAAAAUGAAGAUAAUAGAAUUAGGGUCUUAGUAAUCAUAAUGCUUUUAACUGGUGACAAUAAGGAAGAAACCUAUGGUUAAAUAUCCCAGAAAUUUAUUUAAUGUUUGCUUGAUACAUUUUAUAUAGAAAGGUUAGGACUAUUUGCUUUGGGUGCCCCUGGUAAAUCUCAUGGAGGCACUGAACUACAAAGGGGUGCCAAUCUGGAGACAUCAGAAAUGGAAAUCACACGCCCCAUUUUAUGACUGUUCUUAAAGAUUUGUCUCUAGUGAAAUCAGGCCACUCCCUUAAAAAAUGCUCAAGGUGUCAGAGCUACUGUGUGAAAACAGCUGACAUUUAGGAGGGCAUUUCACGUUUUGGUCUGUUGGAACAUUUAAAUACUUCGAAAUAAAAAAUAUUCAGCUUUGAAGUUUUCAAUACUGGAAAACUUUCAAGUCUAGGGUUAACAGCCAGGAAGGCUGCUUUGUGUUCCUUAAACUGGACUCUGUUGCCCACAAAGUUAAUCUUCGGCUUUGGCUUCCAUUUCUUCUGCAUCGUCAUCUCCAUCCACUUCGGCAUUUUCUCUCUCCAGCCUCUCCAGCUGCCUUGCAAGUUCAGUCUCAUCUGUAUCUGUGACCACUUUGGGCUGUGGAAGCAGAGGCACAAUUUCAAAGUGAAGUAGUUAAACAGUACACAAAUUCAAUUUCAAUAGUAUUACUGCC